CAAGAUCUCUGUGUAGUGUAAUCGUGCAACCAUGAAUUCCUCUUGGCCCUGAGACACCACGUGGAGACCAGAUCAUUCUCCUGGUGCCAUCUAUCUAUAUAUUCUCAAGAAUGAGAAAACUUUUCAGUUCAUAUGGAACGCAAGAUUCCCCUGUGUGGAUGGCUAUGGACUCAAGCUCUAUCAAUACACAUCACAAGACAUCUUAAUGAUGUUCGAGGAAUUAUCAGCUAGACACACCAUCCCAAGGAAACACUUUAUCUGAAAGUUUUUACAGAUAAGAAGCUUUAUCUUUUCUAAACAACACUCUAAUGAAUAGAAAUUGCAAUAAUAGGGGUUUAAUUUAAUUGAUG